GAGUUUGAUCUUGGCUCAGAUUGAACGCUGGCGGCAUGCCUAACACAUGCAAGUCGAGCGGAUGACGGGAGCUUGCUCCUUGAUUCAGCGGCGGACGGGUGAGUAAUGCCUAGGAAUCUGCCUGGUAGUGGGGGGACAACGUUUCGAAAGGAACGCUAAUACCGCAUACGUCCUACGGGAGAAAGCAGGGGACCUUCGGGCCGUUGCGCUAUCAGAUGAGCCUAGGUCGGAUUA
rnacentral:rRNA from 1 species